rnacentral:lncRNA from 1 species
UCAUAUCCAAUUGAUGAAAAAGGGGCAAUUCAAUUGAUAUAGUUGAAGAAAAAAUUGACAAAAGGACAAAAGAAUGGAAAGAAAAAGUGAUUGAAAGGUGAUGAGAAUCAAGGAGAGAGAGGGAUAGAAAGGCUAAUGUAGGAACUAGGAACCUUUAAGAUAUGGAUUUUUAAUCACUGAAGGUUAGGACCGACAAUAGGUUUGAUAUUUUAAUUGUUUAAUUGUUACUUGAUGUUAGUUAGGACCACCAUCAUGUCAUAAUUUAAUGUUGCUUCUAACCGACGUAAUGUUCGAUGUCACUUUUAACCGACACUAUUGUUCUUUUUUAUUUUAUAUUACUUUGUUUCUUGGUGGUGGAUUAAGGGACUAACCAACGUCAAUACCUUUUUCGUGACGCUAGCAGUGGUGUCGGUUCCUCUAUCUGACAUUGCACGAUUUGAUGUUGGAUUUUUAUCAAAAAUUCGACUAUAAUUAGGGUUUCUUGUCGGUUUUUACACUGCCAAUGAUAGCCUCUUUUGUAGUAGUGUGUACCCACCUCGACCCGCUUGUACCGGCCCUUACUUGUGGGUCCAAGACCCGUUUGCCCACCUCUAACCCCAAAUUUCAGCAAUUAGAAUCUCACAACAACAAAGGUUGGCACAAAAACCAGCAAUCUCUUGCUCUGGAGAAUUUCUGAAUACACUACUUGUGUCAAUAAAACUAGCCAUUUACAACAUUUGUUCAAGCGAAGAUUUCUCCGGAUAUGGCUCAUCGGCUCUCAGCACAGCUCCCCAAGAGAUUGCCACUUUAGAUGUAUAGUCAAGCUCUUGCUUGUUGAUAUGCUUGUUGAUAUGCUUGUCGGAAGAUGACAGAGUUA